AAGUCAGUGACCCAACCGCAAGGAGGGAGCUGCCGAAGGCGGGAUUGAUAACUGGGGUGAAGUCGUAACAAGGUAGCCGUAUCGGAAGGUGCGGCUGGAUCACCUCCUUUCUAAGGAA
rnacentral:rRNA from 1 species